CCGCCCAGAGUCCAGACCGGCGAACGGCCAUACCAGUCCAAUCCAACGAGGAUGGUUGAAGUUAACUGCAGUUAUUGUUGGUUCUUGUGCUUCGAAAUAAUCCUAAAAUUAUCGUUACUUCUCAGUUUUUUAUAAUGUUGUGCAUUGAGUAGUACCUUUGUGCAUUGUUCAUAGCGGUCGAGAACGAGUUAACCCCUAACUUUGAGGAAUGGGAUUGGCACAUAUCCUCUAUUUGGCUGCAAAAUGGUACUGGAGUUGAUAAAUUCGAUAUGUACUAGGAUAUGGAAUAUGAUGACUGAUCUGCAAUGUGUAGGAAGAAUUAAGUGACAAGAGGUCCAGGGUACACGCAAGUUUUUUUUUUAUUCAUUGAAACUUUUAUUAAGGAUCAAACAACUGAUUUGUCUCUUGGUUUAAUUAAAUCGUCACCAAAAUUUGAAACGUUCUUAUGCAACACUAACGCUAUAAAUUUUCUUUUACAUAAUGAUAUAAUAUUUAUUUAGCAGUAUAGGUCUAUACAACUAAUAUAGGAAUUAUAAUUUGGGGUAUCGAAUAUUAUACUAAUUAAUAAAUAACAUUGUAUUCAUAUUUUAAAUUAAGUCUAUAGGUUUGUUAGUAGAGUGGUUCACAAUGGUUCUCAACUGUACAGAUCUGAUAGAUCUUCCCCACGCUUAAAAUGGAAUUUUGCUUACUAUGUACAGUUCACAAUCUCUACGAACAAACCUUAUAAUUGGAAAAUUAGUGGCAUGCAGACAAUUAUUCUGAAAAAAGUACCUCCUCUUCGAGUCCUGCUCAAAGAGGUACUUUUUUUUAGUACUAGCACAGCUGUCUAAUUGUUUCGGAACAUAAAUUCUAUUGAAUUUAGGGCUACAAAAUUUCCUUGAAGUGAUGCAUUCCCUCUCAUAUUGGCAAUAAUAAUGAGGUUCAUUCUUUGAAAUCUACAAGUUGUUACAAUAUUAAUAUCUGAAUAAUAAACCUAAGGAAAUUUACUGAAAGUAAAGCCUAUUUGUGAAGGCAUUCAAUAACCUGACACAAUAUAGAAGUAUAAAGUUCAU